rnacentral:rRNA from 1 species
UACGUAGGGUGCGAGCGUUGUCCGGAAUUAUUGGGCGUAAAGAGCUCGUAGGCGGUGUGUCACGUCGGCCGUGAAAACCUGCAGCUUAACUGUGGGCGUGCGGUCGAUACGGGCAUCACUGGAGUUCGGCAGGGGAGACUGGAAUUCCUGGUGUAGCGGUGAAAUGCGCAGAUAUCAGGAGGAACACCGGUGGCGAAGGCGGGGUCUCUGGGCCAUACUGACGUGAGGAGCGAAAGCGUGGGGGAGCAAACAGG